ensembl:misc_RNA 7SK 7SK RNA
GGAUGUGAGGGCGAUCUGGCUGCGACAUCUGUCACCCCAUUGAUCGCCAGGGUUGAUUCGGCUGAUCUGGCUGGCUAGGCGGGUGUCCCCUUCCUCCCUCACUGCUCCAUGUGCGUCCCUCCCGAAGCUGCGCGCUCGGUCGAAGAGGACCACCUUCCCCGAAUAGAGGAGCACCGGUCUUCGGUCAAGGGUAUACGAGUAGCUGCGCUCCCCUGCUAGAACCUCCAAACAAGCUCUCAAGAAAUACAGAAAUAAAGUUCAUGAAAUAUACCCACGUGAACUGUCAAACAUAACCAUGACUUGUAU